AUUGAACGCUGGCGGCAGGCCUAACACAUGCAAGUCGAGCGGAUGAGAGGAGCUUGCUUCUCGAUUCAGCGGCGGACGGGUGAGUAAUGCCUAGGAAUCUGCCUGGUAGUGGGGGACAACGUUUCGAACGGAACGCUAAUACCGCAUACGUCCUACGGGAGAAAGCAGGGGACCUUCGGGCAUUGCGCUAUCAGAUGAGCCUAGGUCGGAUUAGCUAGUUGGUGAGGUAAUGGCUCACCAAGGCGACGAUCCGUAACUGGUCUGAGAGGAUGAUCAGUCACACUGGAACUGAGACACGGUCCAGACUCCUACGGGAGGCAGCAGUGGGGAAUAUUGGACAAUGGGCGAAAGCCUGAUCCAGCCAUGCCGCGUGUGUGAAGAAGGUCUUCGGAUUGUAAAGCACUUUAAGCUGGGAGGAAGGGUUGUAGAUUAAUACUCUGCAAUUUUGACGUUACCGACAGAAUAAGCACCGGCUAACUCUGUGCCAGCAGCCGCAGUAAAAC
rnacentral:rRNA from 1 species